GAUGAACGCUGGCGGCGUGCCUAAUACAUGCAAGUCGAGCGAACGGACGAGAAGCUUGCUUUUCUGAUGUUAGCGGCGGACGGGUGAGUAACACGUGGAUAACCUACUUAUAAGACUGGGAUAACUUCGGGAAACCGGAGCUAAUACCGGAUAAUAUUUUGAACCGCAUGGUUCAAAAGUGAAAGACGGUCUUGCUGUCACUUAUAGAUGGAUCCGCGCUGCAUUAGCUAGUUGGUAAGGUAACGGCCUACCAAGGCAACGAUGCAUAGCCGACCUGAGAGGGUGAUCAGCCACACUGGAACUGAGACACGGUCCAGACUCCUACGGGAGGCAGCAGUAGGGAAUCUUGCGCAAUGGGCGAAAGCCUGACGGAGCAACGCCGCGUGAGUGAUGAAGGUCUUCGGGUCGUAAAACUCUGUUAUUAGGGAAGAACAUAUGUGUAAGUAACUGUGCACAUCUUGACGAUACCUAAUCAGAAAGCCACGGCUAACUACGUG
rnacentral:rRNA from 1 species